ACCCAUUGUGCCCAGUACCACUCACCAGUACCUGCUCAGAGCUUGCCUAACACCAGGAGUAAUUUGCUUUGUGAGGGUUAGAUACACAGCCUCCUGAGUCAUGACAGAAAAUGCAAAAUGGCCAAGAGGGAAGAGUAAACCUCUCACUCUUUUCUCUUUUCUCCUAUUUUGCCACUAAGAAACUGAAAACAGUUUGGGGGAAUUCUGAAUUCUCCAAAUCCCAAGGAUGCCCUUGGACUUGAACCCACUGGACCAGCUGUCCUUCUCUCGUUGAGUUUGUCCAUGCUGUUCUCCAGCCAGCUGAAAUGCUUUAAGGCUGGAAGGACAUAAUCUGCAAAGGCCACGGGAAUCUUUUUGUGGCAAGCACCAGCGAGGAGAAAAUUGGCAAGAAAUGAUGUCCUUGUGUGCUCAGGGAUGGCAUAAUGAUAGAUCUCAUGCAGCUCAGAGGAUUCUGCUAUUUAUUUAGGAGUGGUUUGAAGCCUCUGGAUCUAAUCACCAAGUCCAGACCACACUGGGCUGACUCAGCGCAUGGCACAAGAAGGGCAGGGGGGUUGGCAGGUCGGCACUUGGGAAAAGACACUCAGAACUGGGAAGCCUGCCUCCACAUUUGUCAUCAAAAGUUGGGCUGCAGAAGGAGCAAACACUUCUGGUAGCUGCUUUGGACAAUAAAACCUGGAAAGAUGCAAGUUCCAGGGGUUUCCCUGGCCAAGAGAAAAAAGAAAUACAAGGGGAAAAAAAAAGAGAAUCUGUCUUUCACUCAUCUCUUCUGCAAAGAGAAAUUUGCAAGCAUCACACUUUCUAGCCUGUGGCCCAGUUCUGUGAUUGUCUUUUGAAUUCUCAGUAUCAUUCACCAUCAUCCAAGGAAUGCAAACUCUAGACCAAGGAGUCCAUUCUGACAAUGAUCUUUACCACCGCCAUCUCCAAAUACCUACUGGAUUUGUAUAAACACUGUUUAACAGGCCUUUUUUGUUUUCCUGAAUAAAUACAGUGUUGAA